rnacentral:rRNA from 1 species
AGUGAACGCAGGCGGUAGGCCUAACACAUGCAAGUCGAACGGCAGCACAGUAAGAGCUUGCUCUUACGGGUGGCGAGUGGCGGACGGGUGAGGAAUACAUCGGAAUCUACUUUUUCGUGGGGGAUAACGUAGGGAAACUUACGCUAAUACCGCAUACGACCUACGGGUGAAAGCAGGGGAUCUUCGGACCUUGCGCGUUUGAAUGAGCCGAUGUCGGAUUAGCUAGUUGGCGGGGUAAAGGCCCACCAAGGCGACGAUCCGUAGCUGGUCUGAGAGGAUGAUCAGCCACACUGGAACUGAGACACGGUCCAGACUCCUACGGGAGGCAGCAGUGGGGAAUAUUGGACAAUGGGCGCAAGCCUGAUCCAGCCAUACCGCGUGGGUGAAGAAGGCCUUCGGGUUGUAAAGCCCUUUUGUUGGGAAAGAAAAGCAGCAGGUUAAUAACCCGCUGUUCUGACGGUACCCAAAGAAUAAGCACCGGCUAACUUCGUG